AUUGAACGCUGGCGGCAUGCCUUACACAUGCAAGUCGAACGGCAGCGGGGACUUCGGUCCGCCGGCGAGUGGCGAACGGGUGAGUAAUGCAUCGGAACGUACCCGGAAGUGGGGGAUAACGUAGCGAAAGUUACGCUAAUACCGCAUAUUCUGUGAGCAGGAAAGAGGGGGAUCUUCGGACCUCUUGCUUUCGGAGCGGCCGAUGUCAGAUUAGCUAGUUGGUGAGGUAAAGGCUCACCAAGGCGACGAUCUGUAGCGGGUCUGAGAGGAUGAUCCACCACACUGGGACUGAGACACGGCCCAGACUCCUACGGGAGGCAGCAGUGGGGAAUUUUGGACAAUAGGGGCAACCCUGAUCCAGCCAUGCCGCGUGCGGGAAGAAGGCCUUCGGGUUGUAAACCGCUUUCGGACGGAAAGAAAUCGCAUGGGUUAAUACCCUGUGUGGAUGACGGUACCGUAAGAAGAAGCACCGGCUAACUACGUGCCAGCCGCCGCCGUAAUAC
rnacentral:rRNA from 1 species